CAAAAACCCAAUGCAGCUGUUUUUUCUCCUCAUUAACAGCAUUAAUUGCUAAAUUUUCUUGCAACAACUUUUAACAAUUGCAGGAGACCAAACAUCUUUAAAGCUGCUAGAAGUCCUUACCUAAUGCUGAUGAAUUAGCAUUAAAGACUGACAACUGUACUACAAAGAUCAUCACUAAAAUUAGCAUGCCUGAGUGCUAGCUUAUCUACCUGCCCACCCACUGACCCGGGAACUACCAGCAUGUGAAGAAACAGCCAACUGGGAAGACGGCCAAGAACUAAAACACAGAAUCUACAAAUAAUUCUCUUAUUACUGCUUUGAACUUUAACACAAAAUGCCUUAGCUGGAAGAUUAGACCUGGAAAUUUGAUGGAAAUUCCAUUCAUUUUCUAAACACUAGAGAGUUCAAUUUAAAAAAAUCAUUUUCAGAUUUUUUCCCUCACACACAUUCAUGUGUGAGGGAAAAAAACUGUACACCACGUGAGCACCUAAUGACACACUUCAAUGCAUACAUACACACAUAUGUGUAUAUAUAUGUGUAUGUAAGUAUAUAUACAAACACUGAAAUACAUAUAUAUUCUCAUUACAUAUGCCAUAUACAUUACGUAUGCCUAUCCAUAUGAACGUAAUAAUCCUGAAGGACUAAUUGCAUUCAUUCAUGUUUUCAGCCCAGCAUGAAGCUAGUAGAUUGCUGAGAUCAUAGCAACAGGGGAGAGAAAGGAAGGCUCAUCUUUAUC